GCAUUUUAUUUAAGGGCAGACGGUGGAUGCCUUGGAAUAUCGAGGCGAUGAAGGACGUGGGGAGUCUGCGAUAAGCUUCGGGGAGGUGACUCUCAACCUUUGAUCCGGAGAUUUCCGAAUGGGGAAACCCAUCCCGAUGAUAAGUCGGGAUACCGAGCAUAUUAUAUAUGUUCUGGAGCGAACCUGGGGAAGCGAAACAUCAUAGUACCCAGAGGAAAAGAAAAUGAAAGAUAAUUCCCUUAGUAGCGGCGAGCGAAGAGGGAAGAGCCCAAACUCUUUACUUUUUUUAAAAGUAAGGGGAGUUGUAAGAUGGUGACGUCAGGAGCCCAGCACUUCCUUAGUUUGCUGGAAGCGCUGGACUUUUUGAGGGAGAAUAUUUAGACGAAGUUUGGUUAGAGGAAGCACCCUGGAAAGGGGCGCCAUAGAGGGUAAUAGCCCCGUACUCGAAAAUCACUUCGCGCUCCUUGUUAUUAUUCUUGAGUACUUCGAGGCACGAAAACCUUGAAGGAAGCAGGCCGGACUAACCGGCCAAGGCUAAAUACUACGAUAUUUCCGAUAGUGAACCAGUACCGUGAGGGAAAGGUGAAAAGCAGCCCCGUGAGGGCGGUGAAAUAGAACCUGAAACCGUGUUGCCCACAAAGAGUCAGAGCCCCUUUUAUAGGGGUGAUGGCGUGCUUUUUGCAGAACGAGCCAACGAGUCCCGAUAAUUUCUUGUUUAAGUCCUUACAGGACGAAAGCUCAGUGAAAGCGAGCGUUAAAAGCGCAUCUUUUAAGAAAUUACCGGGGACCCGAAGCCAAGCGAGCUUACCAUGACCAGGAUGAACUUUGGCGAAAGCCGAAGGGAGGUCCGAACCCGUGGGUCGUUCAACUCCUUGGGAUGAGUUGUGGUAAGAAGUGAAAAGCUAAACGAGCUUGGUAAUAGCUGGUUCUCUCCGAAAUAGCUUUCGGGCUAGCUCUUCCAAUUAAUAUCCGGAGGUAGAGCACUGGAUGGAUUUCCUUGGGAUUUUUCUCAGGUAAUUCAACCAAACUCCGAAUGCCGGAUUUACAAAAGUGGAAGAAGUCAGACUAUGGGCGCUAAGGUCCGUGGUCAAAAGGGAAACAGCCCAGACCUUCAUCUAAGGUCCCUAAACUGAACUAAGUGUAUAAGGAAGUGGAGUUCCAUUGAUAGUUAGGAGGUUAGCUUAGAAGCAGCUAUCCUUUAAAAAGUGCGUAAUAGCUUACUAACUAAGGAAUUUUGCGCCAAAGAUUCAACGGGGCUAAGUUCAGUACCGAAGAUAAGGAUGUCACGCCAAUUUAUUGGCGGACGUGGUAGGAGAGCGUUCUUAGUGCUGCGAAGCUGAGAGGUGACUCUUGGUGGAGCGCUAAGAAGUGAGAAUGUUGGCAUGAGUAACCGCAAUCAGGGUGAGAUCCCCUGACACCGAAAGCCUAAGGUUUCCUUGGCAAUGACAAUCAACCAAGGGUUAGGCGGACCUAAGGGGAAGCCGAAAGGCGUACCCGAUGGACAGCCGGUUAAUAUUCCGGCCCUCCAGUACUUUUCUAAAGAGUAACGCAAUCUUUUAGGUUGGGCGAAUUAAUGGAUUUUUGUUUCUUGUUCGUAAGAACCGGAAAAAUAUUCUACUUCGGUAGGAUAGAUUCAACUGAAAAUGUUGCCAAGAAAAACUCGUAGGGUUAAAAGUAUUGGAUCCGUACCGUAAACCGACACAGGUAGGCUGGCGUAAUAGUGCCAAGGUGAACGGGUGAAACUUCGUUAAGGAACUCGGCAAUAAAGUGUCCGUAAGUUCGCAAUAAGGACUGCCGCUUAAAAGCGGCUUCAACAAACGUACCCCAGGCGACUGUUUACCAAAAACAUAGGUCCCUGCUCAACUCGUAAGAGGAUGUAUAGGGGCCGAGGCCUGACCAGUGCUGGAAUGUCAAAGCUGCCGGUAUUUGUCGCAAGAUAAAUGCUGAGUGGCCAAAGCACCAGUGAACGUCCGCGGUAACUAUAACCGUGUUAAAGUAGCGUAAUCCCUUGCCGGGUAAGUUCCGGCCCGCAUGAAAGGCUUAACGACUUGGGGACUGUCUCAACGAAGAGCCCGGUGAAAAUGCAAUACCGGUAAAGAUGCCGGUUACCUGCGGCUAGACGGAAAGACCCCGGGAGCUUUACUGUAGCCAGAUAUUGAGUUUUGAUUUUAGAUGCGUAGCGUAGCGGGUAGACUUUGAUGUCCUGUUCUCGGACAGGGCGGAGUCGCCAAUGAAACACCCGUCUUCUGGAAUCUUUAUUCUAACUUUGUCUGAAAUGGUGAAGGACAGUGUUUGGUGGGCAGUUUAAGUGGGGCGCUUGCCUCCUAAAAAGUAACGGAGGCGUUUAAAGGUCAGCUAGCUCCGGAUGGAAAUCGGAGUGGUCCUGUAAAGGGAAAAGCUGGCUUUACUGCAAGGCGGAUAUGCCGCGCAGUUGGGAAACCAGAACUUAGUGAACCGACCUUUUUUAGUAGAAAAGAGGAAGAUCAUCAACCAAAAGUUACCCCGGGGAUAACAGGCUAGUAGAGCCCGCGAGUUCAUAUCAACGGCUCUGUUCGGCACCUCGAUGUCGGCUCAUCACAUCCUGGAGGUGAAGAAGCUUCCAAGGGUUCGGCUGUUCGCCGAUUAAAGUGGUACGUGAGCUGGGUUCAGACCGUUAAGAAACGGAAUAGGAUUCGGUUUUUUAAUAGUCUGAAUCCAAGGUUAAGACAUCAUAAAAUAACGGCGGCGUUCAAUAGUAAUAUUGAAUGUGAAGUUGACUUAUAUCGGUGAAAUCCUUGUCAAGGACAAUACCGAGGGAAAUCUAUAUUUAUAUAGAUACCCGUAGAGACUACACGUCAACCUCCUUGAAUAAUCAAGGAAGAUAAUAUAGUCCAAUGCAUCUAGGAAUAGGUGACAACAUGCGUGAGACAGGUUGGUCCCUAUCUACCGCAGGCGUAGAGUCUUGAGGGAAGUUGACCUUUGUACGAGAGGAUCAGGUUGAACUAACCUCUGGUGUACCAGUUGUUCCGCCAGGAGCAUCGCUGGGUAGCUAAGUUAGGAAGGGAUAAGAGCUGAAAGCAUCUAAGCUCGAAGCCCCUCCCAAGAUAAAGACUCAUUAAAACCGCUCAAAGACUAUGAGCUUGAUAGACUCCAAGUGUAAGGGCCGAGAGGCCUUAAGCUGAGGAGUACUAAUAGGUUAUAAUUUUUAUAUGCCU
rnacentral:rRNA from 1 species